rnacentral:rRNA from 1 species
GACGUAGGGGACGAGCGUUGUCCGGAUUUAUUGGGCGUAAAGAGCGUGUAGGCGGCCAGGUAGGUCUGCUGUGAAAACUCGAGGCUCAACCUCGAGACGUCGGCGGAAACCAUCUGGCUAGAGUCCGGAAGAGGAGAGUGGAAUUCCUGGUGUAGCGGUGAAAUGCGCAGAUAUCAGGAAGAACACCCGUGGCGAAGGCGGCUCUCUGGGACGGUACUGACGCUGAGACGCGAAAGCGUGGGGAGCGAACAGG